ensembl:lncRNA
GGCUGUGCUGUCCGAGCCUCGGGGCGGGGAGCCGCGGCGGGCAGUGCCGCUCGACGCUGCGGCCGGGCCGGGGUUGGGCCUGCUGGACCUCUUGUGCCCUGUAAUGGAAGAAAAGUUUGAAAAUGUCAGAGCACGCUGCUUCCCAGCCCGCCGGCGUUUGUUUGGCACCGCCGUUUUCUCCGCGUGCUCAGGAUGCUGCAGUUGAAAGUGAAGAAGUAUUGUUUGAGACAGCGUACUUGACAAUAUUCUCAGAAAUCCUUGAUUCUAUCCCACUAUUUCACACCACUGAGAGCAUGAAGACAGUACAUCAUGGAAGUGCAAAUCCUGCACAAGGAAGAUUGUAUUGGUUCAUUAUUUAAAUCUGCAUUUUCCUACAGACUCAACAAGAGCAUGUACUAAGCAAAACCAGUGCAGCCUGCAGGAGCUGAGCAGGACUUAAAAUGAGCUGCCUCUCUCACCAGCCAGAAAUUGAUGUAUUUCAAGCAGAGACAUCCCUCAUCCUGCCCCUAAGAAGCAGUGAGGCUGCAAGCACUACAGCAAUACAAAUUCCUAGUUACAAAUUCUGUGAGCACAGUUCAGUUACCCCAAGAGAGAUUUGGCUCUGGUCUCCUUUCUUGGCUCCUCAUCCUGAGGGACCCAGCUACCAUGGUUUCAAAAGCAGGGUUCAGGGCUCAGCUGGCAUCCCUGCUGCUGGGUAGAAAGACAUUGUGCUGUGUAUCACUUAUUUUUUGUACUUUUUUUGUUCUGUUUUGUUUCUGUUUGCUCUAAUUCCAACCCCUUUUCUAUUGAGCUGUCUUUAUCCCCACCCAUGAGUUUUACUUUUGUUUUUGCCUAAUUCUCUCCCUGUCCCCCCGAGUCCCUGCAUGGUACAGAACUGCCUGCCAGGUUAAACCACAGCAGAAAUGUACCAGACAGAAAGGUAAACAAAGCUUGCAGAACCAGUGAAAAUAAGAAGAUGAUGAAUUGUGAUAACUACUUUAAACUCAACACCUCCUAAUGUAGAAUAAGGCAUACGAUAUUUAAUGCUAUGCACUUCAGUUUUUACUGAUUUAGAAUAGCAAUAGAAAAAAGAGCUGAACACAGGAGAACAUCUUUGAGGCACUGGGCACUGAUAUACUACAGAACAGAGCUAAGGUUGAAAAAUAAAUCCGACCCUUAAUAAAACAGGAAUGUUUUCCAAGCUUUCUUUUCAGCUAUAUUCUUCAUAUUUUUUUUCUGAAAUUUAAUCUUAAGUGGUGGUUUAAAAAUGGACAUUUGCAGUGAAAAUAUAAUUUAAUAGUGAAGUACCAGUAACAGUAGUUCACCAGUGACUAUGAAGACAGCUGUGAAAACUUAAUAAAGCCGUAACUCCUCAUAUAUAUUGCUAUUUUAGCACCAUGUGGACUCAAAUGUUUAAUUAAAAUAAUUGCCUAUAUGGUUCUGGAUCGUCUUUUUAUUAUGAAAUGGAGACUUCAUGUGGCCUUCUACCUACUUCUUACUUUAAUUAAGCUGAGCUGUAAAUCUUUUUUUUUUUUUUUUUCCCCCACUGUUAGUUCAAUUUAAGCUCUUCUCUUUCCUCCCUUCCAGAGUAAUUAUCUCCAGUCAGGGCAUCCAUUUUUCAACAGUCUAUUCCUAACUAUGCAGAGAGAGUCCCAUAUAUGUGACUUAGAUUGUUGUACAAGCUAAAUCCUGGAAGAAAGUAUGUUUUCCAAUCUAGUCCUCCCCACAGACCAAAUAGAAUAUGUAUAGAAUAUGUAUUGACUCCUACUUCAAAUGAAAACUGUUCUGUGCUGUGACUACCGUUUACAACAUCAUAUCUUCAAGAUAUAAUGACAAACAAUCCCUUAUGUUGAUACUUAUUUGAUUAUUGCUAUUAAAAUUCAGUGUAUUUGAAUUUGAAUUCAUGUCAGUUCUACUCAUGUCUUGCCCAAGGAUGCUGUGGAUGCCCCAUCCCUGGAGGCAUUCAAGGCCAGGCUGGAUGUGGCUCUGGGCAGCCUGGUCUGCUGGUUGGUGACCCUGCACACAGCAGGGGGGUUGAAACUGGAUGAUCAUUGUGGUCCUUUUCAACCCAGGCCAUUCUAUGAUUCUGUGAUUCUGUGUCUUAUAUUUUAUGCUAGAUUUAGCAAUUGUGUAUUUCCUGUGCACGUUUAACUAAGGAUUGGUGUAGGAUUGCUGUUCGUCACACUUUUUCCGAUGUUCUUGAAGAAGUCUGUCUCGACGGCAUGGAAUAAAUAACCUAUUAUCCCUC